GAUGAACGCUGGCGGCGUGCCUAAUACAUGCAAGUCGAGCGAACAGACGAGGAGCUUGCUCCUUUGACGUUAGCGGCGGACGGGUGAGUAGCACGUAGGUAACCUACCUAUAAGACUGGGAUAACUUCGGGAAACCGGAGCUAAUACCGGAUAAUAUUUCGAACCGCAUGGUUCGAUAGUGAAAGAUGGCUUUGCUAUCACUUAUAGAUGGACCUGCGCCGUAUUAGCUAGUUGGUAAGGUAACGGCUUACCAAGGCAACGAUACGUAGCCGACCUGAGAGGGUGAUCGGCCACACUGGAACUGAGACACGGUCCAGACUCCUACGGGAGGCAGCAGUAGGGAAUCUUCCGCAAUGGGCGAAAGCCUGACGGAGCAACGCCGCGUGAGUGAUGAAGGUCUUCGGAUCGUAAAACUCUGUUACUGGGGAAGAACAAACGUGUAAGUAACUGUGCACGUCUUGACGGUACCUAAUCAGAAAGCCACGGCUAACUACGUG
rnacentral:rRNA from 1 species